rnacentral:rRNA from 1 species
GACGAACGCUGGCGGCGUGCCUAAUACAUGCAAGUCGAACGCAGUGGGGACGGGUGAGUAACACGUGGGUAACCUCCCAUCAGAGGGGAUAACCCUUGGAAACAGGUGCUAAACCGCUACUGAUGGAUGGACCCGCGGUGCAUUAGCUUGUUGGUGAGGUAACGGCCCACCAAGGCCACGAUGCAUAGCCGACCUGAGAGGAGGAUCGGCCACACUGGGAAUGAGACACGGCCCAGACUCCUACGGGAGGCAGCAGUGGGGAAUAUUCGACAAUGGACGAAAGUCUGAUCGAGCAACGCCGCGUGUAUGAAGAAGGUUUUCGGGUCGUAAAGCACUGUUGGUAGGGAGGCGGUAUCUAACCAGGAAGCCACGGCUAACUACGUGCCAGCAGCCGCGGUAAUAC